GACGAACGCUGGCGGCGUGCUUAACACAUGCAAGUCGAGCGGUAAGGCCCUUUCGGGGUACGACGAGCGGCGAACGGGUGAGUAACACGUGGGUGACCUGCCCUCAGCUCUGGGAUAAGCCUGGGAAACCGGGUCUAAUACCGGAUAUGACUCCAUGACGCAUGUUGUGGGGUGGAAAGCCUUGUGCGGCUGAGGAUGGGCCCGCGGCCUAUCAGCUUGUUGGUGGGGUGAUGGCCUACCAAGGCGACGACGGGUAGCCGGCCUGAGAGGGCGACCGGCCACACUGGGACUGAGACACGGCCCAGACUCCUACGGGAGGCAGCAGUGGGGAAUCUUGCGCAAUGGGGCGAAAAGCCUGACGCAGCGACGCCGCGUGAGGGAUGACGGCCU
rnacentral:rRNA from 1 species